AGGGCUAUAUUAUUAAUAAGGUAAAGUUAUUUUUUUUUAAAAGAAGUAUUUUUUUGUUUUAUUAAAAUUUUGAAAGAAUAAAUAUAAUUAUAGAAUAAAAGUAUUGUGAGAGAAAUAUAAAAGUUAGUUUAAAGAAAAAUUAAAUUUUUGUACCUUGUGUAUCAGGGUUUAUCAAAAAAAAUUUUAUAAUUAAGAUUUCUCGAAUUUAAAAGAGUUAUAUAAAUAAAAUUAUUUUAUUGUGGUAUAAAUAUUAUUAAUAUUUAUAUGGAAGUGAAAUGUUAAACGAUUUUAAAUAUAUCUAGUUUUUUAAGAAAAAAAUUUAAUUUUAUUUUUAUUUUAUUAUUUUAUUAAAUUUUUAAUAGAAUUGUAAUAGAAUUUUAUGUUUUAAGGGAUGAGCUUUAAAACAAAAAGAUAAAAUUAUUUAUAAAUUUAUUAAUUAAGUUGGAAUAAAAGUUUUCAUUUUUUAUAGUGUUUUAUAACUAUAUUUAUAUAUAUAUAUAUAUAUAUAAUUUAUAUUUUAUUUAUUUUUUUUUAUUAAAAUUUAAAUUAAAAUUAGAAUUAUUUAGAAAUAAUGAUUAAAUUAGUAUAAUUUUUAUGUAAAAUUAAUUUUAUGUUUAAAGGUAAAGUAAAGGAAUUCGGCAAAAAAUAUUUUUCACCUGUUUAUUAAAAACAUGUCUUUUUGAUUAUAAUUUAAGGUUUAACCUGCCCAAUGAUUUUAAAUGGCCGCGGUAGCCUGACCGUGCAAAGGUAGCAUAAUCAUUAGUUUUUUAAUUGAAAGCUGGAAUGAAAGGUUGGAUGAAAAAAAUACUGUCUCUAUUUUAAUUUUUUAGAAUUUUAUUUUUAAGUAAAAAAGCUUAAAUUUUUAUAAAAGACGAGAAGACCCUAUAGAGUUUAAUAUUUAAAUUUUUGAAGUUUUUAGUAUUUAUAAAUUUAAGAUUGUAUAGUAUUUGGUUGGGGUGAUUGAAAAAUUAAAAAAACUUUUUUAAAAAGGAUUACAUUGAUAUUUGAAAACUUGAUCCUAAUUUUUAGAUUAAAAGAUAAAAUUACCUUAGGGAUAACAGCGUUAUUUUUUUUAGAGUUCUUAUUGAAUAAAAAGAUUGCGACCUCGAUGUUGGAUUAAAAAUAAUGUUUGGUGCAGUAGCUAAACUUUUAGGUCUGUUCGACCUUUAAAUUUUUACAUGAUCUGAGUUUAAACCGGUGUGAGCCAGGUUGGUUUCUAUCUUUAUAAGUAUAAAAUAUUUUAGUACGAAAGGAUUU
rnacentral:rRNA from 1 species